GGCUCAGAACGAACGCUGGCGGCGCGCCUAAUACAUGCAAGUCGAGCGAGAAGGUGUAGCAAUACACUUGUAAAGCGGCGAACGGGUGAGGAAUACAUGGGUAAUCUACCAUCGAGUGGGGAAUAACCAGCCGAAAGGUUGGCUAAUACCGCGUACGCCUCCGGAUCUUCGGGUUCGGAGGGAAAGCCACACUGUGAGUGCAGCGCUCUUUGAUGAGCUCAUGUCCUAUCAGCUUGUUGGUAGGGUAACGGCCUACCAAGGCUUUGACGGGUAGCUGGUCUGAGAGGACGAUCAGCCACACUGGCACUGCGACACGGGCCAGACUCCUACGGGAGGCAGCAGUAAGGAAUAUUGCGCAAUGGGCGAAAGCCUGACGCAGCGACGCCGCGUGGGGGACGAAGGUCUUCGGAUUGUAAACCCCUUUCGGGAGGGAAGAUGGGAUGGGUAACCAUUCGGACGGUACCUCCAGAAGCAGCCACGGCUAACUUCGUGCCAGCAGCCGCGGUAAUACGAAGGUGGCAAGCGUUGUUCGGAUUCACUGGGCGUACAGGGAGCGUAGGCGGUUGGGUAAGCCCUCCGUGAAAUCUCCAGGCUUAACCUGGAAAGUGCAGAGGGGACUGCUCAGCUAGAGGAUGGGAGAGGAGCGCGGAAUUCCCGGUGUAGCGGUGAAAUGCGUAGAGA
rnacentral:rRNA from 1 species